rnacentral:lncRNA from 1 species
UUGCCCCCGCGGCAACCUCACAAAGUUGACCCCACAACUUCAUCUUUUUUCAGGAGCUGAGGACGAUGCCACCUCAAAUAGAAGCAUCCACAGCAGCCUCAAGGCAGGUCUCUGACCCUCAAGUGCAGUGGAAAUACGAAUUACCAGGCGGAAGGGAAGAUCCAAGAAAGGAUCCGACGCAAAAGGCUGACUGAUGAGUCUCAGGAUACAAAUAAUUCAAUCAAAGGAGUGGACCAGAAGCAGAAACCAGGGGCCGCCGGAGAGCGGAAGAUGCGGAGACUGUGGUUUCAGAGGGUGACGCCGAGGAGUGGGUGUCCACGGGAAGCUCGUGACCCUCCCCGAAGGGGUCGGUGCCUGCCAGCCGGCAUCAGUAUGGACAUUGUGACGAUCGCCCACAGUGAGCGCCAUUUUCCUGCCCUUCCCUUUCUCUGACGUAGACUUCACCUUAUUUCCUUCCAGUCUCCCUGUUUCUCUUACGGAUCGAGACACAGCUACUUUUGACCGGCUUGCGUAGUGUUUUUUUUUUUUCCCAGCCCACCCACCUGCCUUUCACCCCCUCAACAGACCGAUCUCAGCAUCUUCUUUUUCCCUCUUUAGACCUUGUGUGUGGACCUCAUCUACGAAAUAGUAUCGCCUUAUCCUCAGAUUCUCUUCCAGCUCUAAUAUUCUCUAUACCGUGCCAAGUUCCAUGUGUCUUCCCAUGCCCUUACGACCGUCUUCGAGGACUUAUACAAACGCCCUUCUGGUCACUUCCCCUGGUCUUGUAAAAGCCUGCCUGUUCCCAUCCAGUGAUUUUCGGUGUGCAUCUGAUAUUUCCAGCCACAUACACUCAGAAGGUGUUGGGACAUUUCCCUAACUUAGUUUGACCUUGGACUCUCUGCUCCUCAUCAGUAUGGGACUACCUUGUCCAAUGCCAUGGAAAACCCAUUUAUUUGAUUUGUGUGGAUAGUGUAUUAUUUG